UACGAAGGGGGCUAGCGUUGUUCGGAAUUACUGGGCGUAAAGGGCGCGUAGGCUGUGCUGUAAGUCAGGCGUGAAAGCCCCGGGCUCAACCUGGGAAUUGCGCUUGAUACUGCGGCGCUGGAAGGUGGGAGAGGAUGGCGGAAUUCCCAGUGUAGAGGUGAAAUUCGUAGAUAUUGGGAAGAACACCGGUGGCGAAGGCGGCCAUCUGGCCCACAAUUGACGCUGAGGCGCGAAAGCGUGGGGAGCAAACA
rnacentral:rRNA from 1 species